rnacentral:rRNA from 1 species
UCCGCACGAGCGCAACCCCUGCUCUUUAGUUUGCCAUCAGGUUGGAGGUGGGAAAUCCCCCUUUAAAAGGCCCCGAAAACCGGAAGAAAGGGGGGAAUAACCUUCAAUUCUCCUGGGCCUUUAUACCAGGGGUUCCCCCCUGGUUAAAUGGGCCGGAAAAAAGGGUGGUAAUCCCCCAGGGGGAACUAAACCCCGAAAAAUGCUCUUCGUUUCAGAUUGGAGGUCUGCAACUCGACUCCAUGAAGGUGGAAUCGCUAGUAAUCGCGAAUCAGAAUGUCGCGGUGAAUACGUUCCCGGGCCUUGUACACACCGCCCGUCACACCAUGAAAGUGGGUUGUACCAGAAGCGGCUAGGCUAACCUUCCGGAGGACGCUCACCCCCGCAUGAUUCAUAACUGGGGUGAAGACGUCACAAGGUAGCCGNAGGGGAACCUGCGGCUGGAGCAC